AUUGAACGCUGGCGGCAUGCCUUACACAUGCAAGUCGAACGGCAGCAUGAUCUAGCUUGCUCGAUUGAUGGCGAGUGGCGAACGGGUGAGUAAUACAUCGGAACGUGCCCUGUAGUGGGGGAUAACUAGUCGAAAGAUUAGCUAAUACCGCAUACGACCUGAGGGUGAAAGUGGGGGACCGCAAGGCCUCAUGCUAUAGGAGCGGCCGAUGUCUGAUUAGCUAGUUGGUGAGGUAAAGGCUCACCAAGGCGACGAUCAGUAGCUGGUCUGAGAGGACGAUCAGCCACACUGGGACUGAGACACGGCCCAGACUCCUACGGGAGGCAGCAGUGGGGAAUUUUGGGCAAUGGGCGAAAGCCUGAUCCAGCAAUGCCGCGUGUGUGAAGAAGGCCUUCGGGUUGUAAAGCACUUUUGUCCGGAAAGAAAUGGCUCUGGUUAAUACCUGGGGUCGAUGACGGUACCGGAAGAAUAAGGACCGGCUAACUACGUG
rnacentral:rRNA from 1 species